GGCUGCGGUACCGGCUUCUCGGCUCACUGUCCUUCUCCCGCAGAUGAACGGGGCCCCGCGGGACGCGGCGGAGCCGGCGCCGGUAUGGGAGCGGCCCUGGUCGCUGGAGGAGAUCCGAAAGGGCAGCCAGAGCUGGUCCUUGGCCUCGGACGCCGGGCUUCUGCAUUUUCUACAAGAGUUCUCACAGCAAACCAUUUCCAGGACUCAUGAAAUCAAAAAGCAAGUAGAUGGAUUGAUUAGUGAAACAAAAGCCACAGACUGUCGCCUUCAUAAUGUCUUCAAUGACUUUCUUAUGUUGUCCAAUACGCAGUUCAUAGAGAAUAGGGUGUAUGAUGAAGAAGUGGAAGAGCCUAUUCCCAAAGCUGACGCCAGAGACAAAACAGAGCAGGAAAAGACACGGGAACAGAAAGAAGCUGAUCUGAUCCCCAAAAUCCAAGCAGCAGUGAAUUAUGGGUUGCAAGUUCUGGACAGUGCGUUUGAACAGCUAGACAUCAAAGCAGGCAACUCUGACUCAGAAGAGGAGGAAAGUAACGAAAGGGUGGAACUGAUACUUGAGCCAAAGGAUCUCUAUAUUGACAGGCCUUUACCUUACUUGAUUGGCUCUCAGCAGUUUAUGGAACAAGAUGAUGUUGGCCUUGGAGAUAUCUCUAGUGAAGAAGGAUCAGUAGAUAGUGAUCGUGGAAGUGUAAUUGACAGUGAAGAGAAGGACGAAGAGGAAUCAGAUGAUGAAUUUGGAAACCCUAGUGAAGAUGACCAAAAGACGAGGACAGCACAGAUGAGUGAUGAAGAUGAUUUCGAUGGCUGUGACCUCUUUGACUCUGAAAAAGAGGAAGAUGAAGAUGGAGACUUAGAUGAAAGCACAAGGCCUAAAAAGAAGAGGCCAACAUCAUUUGCAGAUGAGCUGGCAGCCCGAAUCAAAGGAGAAGUACCAGUCAAACAGGAUGAAGAGCGUUCAUCCCUGUCAUCGGAGACCAAAACAAGGAAAACCCUGAAAGAGAAGAAGGAAGUUAGAGUUCCAUCGGACGAUGAAGAUGAUGACAUCUUCAAGCCUCCUAAGCUGACUGAUGAAGACUUCACACCAUUUGGUUCUAGGGGUGGCCUCUUCAGUGGUGGAACAGGUCUCUUUGACGAUGAAGAGAGUGAUCUUUUUGCUGAAGCACCAAAAGAAGAAUCAAAAGAGAGGGAGGAGCGAGUCCCAAUAAGUGAAGCAUCCUCGACAAAGUCAUUAAAGAAAGUUCCUGCAGGUGCAGUAUCUCUCUUCCCAGGAGGAAAUGAUGUAUUUACUUCCACUGUAAUUGUGGAAAAAGACAAGAAAUCUGCAGCACAGAGCAUAGAGAAAACUCCUAAACAGCCUGGGAAAGUUGUUCUGUUUGAUGAUGAUGAUGAUGACUUCUUUAUGGGAGCAACCAAAAAGCCUCCAGAUUCAGUCAAGUCCACAGCUGACUUAUUUGAUGAUGAUGAAGAAGGUGACUUAUUCAAGGAAAAACCUGCCAUUCCUGCUGUGGUUGCUGGCACAGCUAAAGAAACAGAAAGUCAUAGGGAGACAGUCAUGGAAAAAAAGAGUCAACCAUCUUCAGAUGAGGACUUCAAACCUUUACCUGAAAUGCCUCCAAGAAAACAGAGGGGCCUCUUCUCUGAUGAGGAGGAUUCUGAAGACUUGUUUUCAUCAAGUAAAACUGUGAAGUCCAAAGCUACAUCUCUCCCCACCAGCAAGUCCAUGACAAAAGCUCCGCUGUCUUUGUUUGAUGAUGAUGAAGAGGAUCUCUUUGGUGUGGUACCUGCCAAGAAGCAACAGGAAAAACCCCCAGAAGAGAAAGCAAAACAAUCAGAGCCACUCAAGAAAGCCUGCAGCUUAUUGUUCAGCAGUGAUGAGGAGGAACACUGGAAUGUCUCCAAGCCAGCUAAACUUCCUUCUGAAGAUGACCGAAAAGAGGACCUUGCAAAACCAGCUAGCGCUGUCAGUCAGGCUAAAGCUGUGAAGAAGACGAGCCUCUUUGAGGAAGAAGAUGAGGAGGAUUUAUUUGCAAUCACUAAAGAGAGCCAAAGAAAACCACAGAAGGUAUCGUUGUUGUUUGAAGAUGAUGUUAUUAAUGGAGAAUCACUCUUCAGCUCCCAAUCAACGCUACUUCCUUCAGCUGCUAAGGCUGCAGUGGAGAAAGUAAAACCACCACAAGCACCACCUUUCUUUAAUGAAGAAGAAAAGGAGGAAAAGGAAGGUCUGCCAGAUAGAGCAGUGAAGUCUAAUCAGGUAGAAGAUACAUUGCGGUGUUUAAAAGAGCCUGGAGCAGUUCCUGUGCCUAGAGGAGCAGAUGUUGCAGGGCAGCAAACAAAGGAAAAACCUUUUGCAGCAACAUCCCCAGAGCCAGACAGCAGCUCGGGUGUGUUUGCAACAUCACCACCAGCUCUGGAGAAAGUCGUCAAGUCCCAAGCUAAGAAAGUGUUAAGCUUGUUUGAGGAGGAGGAAGAGGAGAGACUGGAAGAUGAUAACGACAUUAAAAAUGCACAGAAAGAAAUUGGUGUGGCUUCUGAGAAAAGUACUCAGCCCAAAAGCACUGGAGUCUUUCAAGACGAAGAGCUCCUCUUCAGUCACAAACUUCAGAAGGACAAUGAUCCAGACGUCGACCUCUUUGCCAGCCCCAAGAAGUCGAUGUCUGCAAACCGUAUCCUGAAGCCAUCAUCUGGAGGAGGCCUUUUUGGGGAUGAUGAUGAGGAUGAUCUCUUCAGUACUGCUAAAACAAACAUUCCGAAAAUAGCUGAGAAGAAAACACUUAAGGCCAGUACUGGCCCUUCCUUGGAGAGCAGUAACUUUCUACAAAAUGCUUUACGUGCCAAACAAGAUGAAGCUCUGAAGGCAGUAACUACAGAGAAAUCUACAGGUCCUGUUCCCAUUAAAACCAAAGAGCCCUCAUCUCGGAUUGGAGAGCUACAAGCUAACUUAGCUAUUAACCCUGCAGCCUUACUGCCUGGUGCAAUGCCUAAGGUCUCUAGUAUAAAGUCCCCCUUACCAGUUCUGGACACUCCAUUGCAUGAGCCCAAGGAUGUACAAAACAGUGAAGCCUUCUCUGCUGCAGGAAACAAUGAAGAACUAGGUGUAAGCUUUGAUCAGCCUAUGCAAGCGGAUACCUUGCACAGUGCCAAUAAGACCAGAAUCAAGGUUACAGGAAAACGAAGACCUCCUAGCAGAAUGGCCCGCCGUCUAGCUGCCCAAGAGUCUGAAGAGAGUGAGGAGGUGGACACUGCUAAAGAAACACAAUUCUCUCUACCAAAACAGAUGUCAGCAGUAGUGAACAUAAGGGAGCCUCUUGCUACUGAAGCAGAGUCCAAGGAAGAUGGCUUGCUUUCUGGCUUGUCACUACCGGCUCAUGGCAGUGUUUUGUCUGCUGGGACAAACAAACUCCUUCCUUCAGAAUCCACAGACCAAGGGAAUGAUCUGUUUGAAUCAGAAGAGCUGCUUGCAAAAAGGUCAACAUCCAGACCAGGUGCACAAUCAAACUUAAAGGAGGGAAUGCUAGACGGUGUGGCUAAGAAACCCAUCAAGGGCAGGGAGAAGAAGCCUGAUCAGUCUGUUCUCAGUGUUCAGGACAGCAAUGAUCUCUUCCAGCCUGUACAGCAAAAAUCUUCAACAAAAAGCAGCCCUAUACCUUUUUUGGAGGAAGAGGAAGACUCUCUUUUCACCUGUCAGAAAACUGGAAGAAAGGAGUUGAAAUCUGCUGUCUGGCAAGCUGUUGACCCUACUGCCCAAGAUAUCUUUGAGGAUGAUAUAUUUGCUACUGAGGCAGUUAAACCAAUGAACAAAGCAAAAGAGAAAAUGCCAGAGACUAACCUGUUUGAUGAUAACAUUGAUAUUUUUGCGGAUCUCACCAUAAAACCAAAAGAAAAGAAGACCAAGAAAAAGGUGGAACAAAAAUCCAUAUUUGAUGAUGAUAUGGAUGAUAUCUUCUCUAGCAGCCAAGUCAAGAUACCCACUCCCAAAAGCAGAUCUUCCCAAGCAGCCUCAGAAGCAAAAUCUGAAAGCAAGACACUGAGCACAUUUGAUGACCCGCUAAACGCCUUUGGAGGCCAGUAGCCAAGGGGAGUGUGUUGCAGAGAGGAAGCCUUCCUUAUGCCCUGUCCAGUACUAACACUCUGGAUCCUCUAAUCCAGUAGAGCUGAAAUGAGAUCGCUGUUGAUAUUAAAUGAGAGUAUCCAUUUGAAAUGAUUGCCCUUCUGGAACCGAUGCCAUUAACCAUACUUGAUGCCUAAUGGUAGACACUUGCUCUCCUGCAUGCAUACAAACAGAGCAAAUGCACAAAUGUAGAAGGAUCACAUGUUCCUCUUAUUUUACCAGUGACUGCUUGCAAUUCUGACUUUAAAACUAGAUGCGCUGGUUUUUAGAUAGCAAUAUACUACUUAUCUGUUUUUCUUUCUGUGAAUUUAAAGUAUGUGCUUAGAGGACUCCUUUGAGAGCAAUUCCCACUUUCACUGAAGCCCUUGUUCUGAGACAUCUGCUUGAGUCUCUUCUUUCUCAAGUUGGAUUCACUUUAUCAGGCACGGUAAAUACUACAGCUGAAGCAUCUAGCGCUAAUGAGGGUAAAGCAGAAGGAAAGGUUGGAAGGGAUAAAGGAGAAACAUUGAUUUGCGCCAUAGGUGGGCCUGGCAAUGAUUCAUGUUAAGUGGGGGCUAAGCUGAGAGUAGCAGCUUGGAAAAGAAUGUGGGAGCUAUUUGCAAAUGGGUGUCUACAGUGAGAGCACUUGCGCUUUAUUUAUAGGCAUUACAUCUGCUGCAUAUGCCUCAUACAUGAUUUGGACUGCUGCUUUACUCCUUUCUUCUGUGCUUAGAAGGGCUUCAAAGACAUACUGGGGGAAAGAGGAAAAAGAUGGUGAAUUUUUCUCUUUCUUUUCUGCAUCCUCCUUUCUUCUUGGCCCUUCACAUUAAUAACUUCUAUUAGCAUUGCAAAGAGUGUUGUUCACAAGCCAAGAACCCUGGGGGCCAAAAGCUGUUGGAGUAAAACAAGAAAAAGCUCUUGCCAUAAAGCCUUUCUUAAACUUUAAUGUGAAAGCUCA